rnacentral:rRNA from 1 species
AGAGUUUGAUCCUGGCUCAGAUUGAACGCUAGCGGGAUGCCUUACACAUGCAAGUCGAACGGCAGCACGGACUUCGGUCUGGUGGCGAGUGGCGAACGGGUGAGUAAUGUAUCGGAACGUGCCCAGUAGCGGGGGAUAACUACGCGAAAGCGUAGCUAAUACCGCAUACGCCCUACGGGGGAAAGCAGGGGAUCGCAAGACCUUGCACUAUUGGAGCGGCCGAUAUCGGAUUAGCUAGUUGGUGGGGUAACGGCUCACCAAGGCGACGAUCCGUAGCUGGUUUGAGAGGACGACCAGCCACACUGGGACUGAGACACGGCCCAGACUCCUACGGGAGGCAGCAGUGGGGAAUUUUGGACAAUGGGGGAAACCCUGAUCCAGCCAUCCCGCGUGUGCGAUGAAGGCCUUCGGGUUGUAAAGCACUUUUGGCAGGAAAGAAACGUCAUGGGUUAAUACCCCGUGAAACUGACGGUACCUGCAGAAUAAGCACCGGCUAACUACGUGCCAGCAGCCGCGGUAAUACGUAGGGUGCAAGCGUUAAUCGGAAUUACUGGGCGUAAAGCGUGCGCAGGCGGUUCGGAAAGAAAGAUGUGAAAUCCCAGAGCUUAACUUUGGAACUGCAUUUUUAACUACCGGGCUAGAGUGUGUCAGAGGGAGGUGGAAUUCCGCGUGUAGCAGUGAAAUGCGUAGAUAUGCGGAGGAACACCGAUGGC